GAUGCCUUGCGCUUAUAUGGGGUUUAUAGUUCGGUCUAAGCCGCCUUUUCGCAGCGACGUUCGUCGAUAGUCCGGCGCUCCAUUUUUGACAAGGGUUAAUAGAUAUUGAAGACAUACAACGUUAUAGUAACAUGUCAGCGGAUUCCAAAGUGUCUCAGAGUAAGAGUUAUUUCUGUACCAGGGACUAUCAGAGAGAACAUGCUCCACUGUUUUCCACUGAAACAGAUGCUCACCCAUUAUCCAGCAUAUAUUGGCGCGGAAAAGGUGGCGCCACCGUCGGCGACCCGCUGACUCAGCUGAUGGAAGGCAGUGAUCCUCUCUCAAUGAUGGCCGCCGUCGACGCAGCUGACGACCCUGAACAGCCUGUCGAGAUGUCACGUGACGAGGUGGCGCACGACGAUUGGCCGGCAGCACGGCGCGCCAUCUUGUCCCAGUUCACCACGUCCGAGCUGGUGACCGUCACCACCUCGCGGGACAGCAGUGGUG